UACCCGCUGAAUUUAAGCAUAUAAGUAAGCGGAGGACAAGAAACUAAAUAGGAUUCCCUUAGUAAUGGCGAAUGAACAGGGAACAGCUCAGCAUGGAAAUCGGGGCCUCCCGGCCUUGAAUUGUAGUCUGGAGAUGUGCUGCCAACGGAGGCGCAGAUGUAAGCCUCUUGGAAAAGAGCAUCAACGAGGGUGAGAGUCCUGUUUGUCAUCUGCAGUCCCCCGUGCACGGUGCGCGUUUGACGAGUCACGUUCCUCGGGAUUGGAGCGCAAAGUGGGUGGUAAAUUUCAUCUAAAGCUAAAUACUGGUUCGAGACCGAUAGCAAACAAGUACCAUGAGGGAAAGGUGAAAAGGACUUUGAAAAGAGAGUUAAAAGUGCCUGAAAUCGCUGAAAGGGAAGCGAAUGGAACCAGUGUUCUUGGUGAGAUUGUUGCGCACUCUGGGGAUUGCUGGCUGUUCAACCGCAAGGGGAGCAGUUGGUUUUGACUUAGCGGUGCGUGGUGUUUCUUGCCCUGUGUGUCACCGUCGGUGCACCAGCGAGUAAACCACCAAGGGCAUGGUACCUCACCCACGGGUGGGCGAAUACCUUUGGCUGCACUCAUUGGUGUAUCGAUCCCUGCGUGUCUGGUUGCAGUGCUCAGUUCGUCUCAGUGCUUCUGCGGGGUUCGUCUCUGUGGGAGUUUCCUGGGGCGCGCGGGGCAUCUCCCUGACACAAAGACGAUGACUAAAUGGUUCUAUUCGACCCGUCUUGAAACACGGACCAAGGAGUCUAACAUAUGUGCGAGUACACGGGUGUUAAACCUGCUUGCGCAAUGAAAGUGACUGCUGGGAUUUUUGCACCAGCAACCGACCAAUCAAUUGAGAGAGGUUUGAGUAUGAGCAUAUCUGUUAGGACCCGAAAGAUGGUGAACUAUGCCUGAGAAGGGCAAAGUCAGGGGAAACUCUGAUGGAGGCUCGUAGCGAUACUGACGUGCAAAUCGUUCGUCAUACUUGGGUAUAGGGGCGAAAGACUAAUCGAACCAUCUAGUAGCUGGUUCCCUCCGAAGUUUCCCUCAGGAUAGCUGGAGUUGAACAGUUUUAUCAGGUAAAGCGAAUGAUUAGAGGAAUCGGGGACGCUGUUGUCCUCGACCUAUUCUCAAACUUUAAAUGGGUAAGAUCCAGUGGUUACUUUAGUGAACUUCUGGGAUAAAUGACAACUCUAAGUGGGCC
rnacentral:rRNA from 1 species